rnacentral:rRNA from 1 species
CAAUAGCCGCGGUAACACGUAGGCAGCGAGCGUUGUUCGGAAUUACUGGGCGUAAAGAGUGUGUAGGCGGUGCUCUAAGUUCGGUGUGAAAUCUCCUGGCUUAACUGGGAGGGUGCGCCGGAAACUGGAGUGCUCGAACGUGGGAGAGGAAAGCGGAAUUCCUGGUGUAGCGGUGAAAUGCGUAGAUAUCAGGAGGAACACCUGCGGUGUAGACGGCUUUCUGGACCAUUGUUGACGCUGAGACACGAAAGCGUGGGUAGCAAACAGGAUUAGAUACCCCGGUAGUCCCUGUCUCUUAUAC